AUAAACAGGGUCGCUUUUUUUAAAGUUAG
rnacentral:tRNA from 1 species